AGAAAAAUGCCGGAAAAUAGCAGCAACAAGACGUCAUGAUUGUGGUUAUCCAGGCAUAACGAAGCGGGCAUGCGAGAAGAAAGGCUGUUGUUAUAGUGAAUUGCUAAACCAAAGUGGACCGUGGUGCUACCACCGCCUAGAAAAAUGUCUGCGCAAAGCAACAGAACGUGACGACUGCGGCUAUCCUGGUAUAACAGAAUUCGAAUGCAUGAAAAGAGGUUGCUGCUAUAAUUCAUUGCCCGGUCGUGGGCCAUGGUGUUAUUACCGAUGAGAUACGAGGACCUUCGGAAGAUUAUAUGCGAACUUUAGUGUACUCAUUGUUGUAAAAAUAUGUUGUCAAAUAAAUACCUCUAAUAUAUGAACUUUUCCUUCCCAAUAAGAUCCAGUAGGAGAUGAAUGAUUUGACUGCCAAUUUUCUUUUUGUCAUGUCGCUGCAGCCAAACA